CCUACGGGUGGCAGCAGUGAGGAAUAUUGGUCAAUGGGCGUAAGCCUGAACCAGCCAAGUCGCGUGAGGGAUGAAGGUUCUAUGGAUCGUAAACCUCUUUUAUAAGGGAAUAAAGUGUGGGACGUGUCCUGUUUUGUAUGUACCUUAUGAAUAAGGAUCGGCUAACUCCGUGCCAGCAGCCGCGGUAAUACGGAGGAUCCGAGCGUUAGCCGGCUUUAGUGGGUUUAAAGGGUGCGUAGGCGGCCUUUUAAGUCAGCGGUGAAAGUGUGUGGCUAAACCAUAGAAUUGCCGUUGAAACUGGGAGGCUUGAGUAUGUUUGAGGCAGGCGGAAUGCGUGGUGUAGCGGUGAAAUGCUUAGAUAUCACGCGGAACCCUGAUUGCGAAGGCGGCCUGCCAGGCCAUGACUGACGCUGAUGCGCGAAAGCGUGGGGAUCAAACAGGAUUAGAUACCCUGGUAGUC
rnacentral:rRNA from 1 species